rnacentral:rRNA from 1 species
UACGGAGGGGGCUAGCGUUGUUCGGAAUUACUGGGCGUAAAGCGCGCGUAGGCGGCUUUGCAAGUCGAGUGUGAAAUCCCCAGGCUUAACCUGGGAACUGCAUUCGAGACUGCAUAGCUAGAGUAUGGGAGAGGGAAGUGGAAUUUCAGGUGUAGCGGUGAAAUGCGUAGAUAUCUGAAGGAACAUCAGUGGCGAAAGCGACUUCCUGGACCAAUACUGACGCUCAUGUGCGAAAGCGUGGGGAGCAAACAGG